rnacentral:lncRNA from 1 species
AAGGAAGAACUUGUCUUCCUUUUAGAAGAAAAGAGUACUAGACGCCUUGCCAAAAUGGAAGAGUGGUUGUUUUUGCUGUAAGGGCAUGAGAUGCAAGGGGUCGACAACUUGUCUCCCUAUUCAAGAGUGAGAAAAUUCCUUAAACCUUCAAGGUGCCAUAGUUCAACAAGAAGAAUGAUGGUACUGGGUGUCCUAAAAUACACCUCAAGUACUAUCUAAUGAAGAUGACCCAUAAAGCAAUGUUCUUCAUUGCUGCCAAUAUUCCUAGAAGGGUGCAUACCUUCGUGGGGAAAAAAAGGUCAGUUCCUCAUUCUAUGAUAGUGUCAUGAAAGAUCCAUUUAUUUGAAGAAAAAUAGUUUUCAGAAAAUCAUUUUCUAAUUUUUUGGUGUUUGGAUUAUGGAAAACUAGUCGAUCUAUGGAAAAUGCUUUUCCUGGAUAUGAAAACAAUGAGCUUAAAUUGGCAGUAAAUGACUUCGUCUUCUGACAAGAAGGAAUUCAUUUUCUCUGAACCAUCAAAUAAAUGAAAUCUAAAUGAGUUUUUUUUUUUUUUAUCAUGAAGUUUCAAUGAAACAAACAGACCCCCUUCUUGCCAGAAUGGGAAGUUGUUUUCCCACAAUCUAAGUUUGUUGUUCCAUAGAUCCAUUGGUUUUCUGUCAUCCAAACCUCGAAAAAUUCGAUAACAAUUAUGAGGGGACAAAUUUCCAUCAAACAAGCGAACCUUUAUUGUCUACUGAUAAAAUAAACCGAGUAAAGAUUCUACCAAUAAUGUGAUGCACUAUGCUUUUUAUACAAUUAUUGUUCACUGUACCAAUAUCAUAGGAUAGGGCUUAAGAGUAAUCAGUGUAGCCAAUAUGAAGUUUAAUUCCAAUAUGUCACAGACUCUUAAAUACUCUUUACGGAAGAGAGUGGGAUUUACACAACCAGCAAGCAUAAUCUCAAUCCAGUGAAUAUAAUUCAUUAGUUGCCAAAAUGAAUUCACGGCCCCUUGGAGUAUACGUUACUCGUGGUGUAAGUCGACAUGCUUGUCUCAUCUUGAUAAUUGAUUAAAUGAAUCUAUAUGCAUGGUAGAAUAUCAGGAUCAGAGACAUCAUACAUGGAUGGAUUUGAACAACAAAUCAAGUAGCCAUGGCAUGUGGACAUCUCAGCCAUAGUCUAAAAUCACUGGAAACAGAGACGCUGUAAAUGAGUCGAACAGGUAUAUUACACAACAAUCAUUCCAAACACUAAAGCAUAAGAAUGCUUCUCGAAAUUGUAUUUCGAAUUUCGUUCAGGCAUUUUAAUGAACACUUGGCGAUCAGUUCAAAAACAGAACACGGAGUCAUUAUCGAAGCGUCAAUUCCGAUCCCGACAAUUGCAAUGACAUCGGAACGCAUUUAAACUCCUACCAACAGAUCUACCAUCACCAUUUCUACGCUCACUCGAAACCUUAAAUCACAAACCUCGGAUUCAGCUCAAUAAACAAAGCAAUGAUGUACAUACCUCGGAGCCUGUCUUUGGCCGCGAACGGCGACGUCUUGGC